rnacentral:ribozyme from 1 species
AGAAAGAUCGAGGCAUCUGCGAUUCCUACUAUCGUAGUAUCAUCAAGUAAUAGAUACCGGACAGGAUUCUUCCCCAGUUGAAGGAACGGU